CCUACGGGGGGCAGCAGUGGGGAAUUUUCCGCAAUGGGCGAAAGCCUGACGGAGCAAUACCGCGUGAGGGACGAAGGCUCUUGGGUCGUAAACCUCUUUUCUCAAGGAAGAUGAUGACGGUACUUGAGGAAUAAGCAUCGGCUAACUCUGUGCCAGCAGCCGCGGUAAUACAGAGGAUGCAAGCGUUAUCCGGAAUGAUUGGGCGUAAAGCGUCCGCAGGUGGUUUAAUAAGUCUGCUGUUAAAGCGUGUGGCUCAACCACAUACAGGCAGUGGAAACUAUUCGACUAGAGUAUGUUAGGGGUAGAGGGAAUUCCCAGUGUAGCGGUGAAAUGCGUAGAGAUUGGGAAGAACACCGGUGGCGAAAGCGCUCUGCUAGGACAAUACUGACACUGAGGGACGAAAGCUAGGGGAGCGAAUGGGAUUAGAUACCC
rnacentral:rRNA from 1 species